AUUGAACGCUGGCGGCAGGCCUAACACAUGCAAGUCGAACGGUAACAGGAAGCAGCUUGCUGCUUUGCUGACGAGUGGCGGACGGGUGAGUAAUGUCUGGGAAACUGCCUGAUGGAGGGGGAUAACUACUGGAAACGGUAGCUACUACCGCAUAACGUCGCAAGACCAAAGAGGGGGACCUUCGGGCCUCUUGCCCUCGGAUGUGCCCAGAUGGGAUUAGCUAGUAGGUGGGGUAACGGCUCACCUAGGCGACGAUCCCUAGCUGGUCUGAGAGGAUGACCAGCCACACUGGAACUGAGACACGGUCCAGACUCCUACGGGAGGCAGCAGUGGGGAAUAUUGCACAAUGGGCGCAAGCCUGAUGCAGCCAUGCCGCGUGUAUGAAGAAGGCCUUCGGGUUGUAAAGUACUUUCAGCGGGGAGGAAGGGAGUAAAGUUAAUACCUUUGCUCAUUGACGUUACCCGCAGAAGAAGCACCGGCUAACUCCGUG
rnacentral:rRNA from 1 species